AAGUUCGCGCCAUCAGUAAAAGGAGUUGCAGCCACUGCUCAUUUCAAUGACCUGCACCACAUAAUCCCUUGGAGGACUGCACGCAUCUUCACUUCAAAUUACACCUAUUUCUUCCUUGUCAGCCCAGGCCGCAUGUUCUUACGCCUCUACUUCUGUCCGGGUGAGUACUAUGACGACCAUGGAGACUAUGCUAUCUCCAAUGCCUUCUUCGGUGUCACGACAGGAAAUCUUGUCCUCUUAAAUGAUUUUAAUGUUUCACAAACAGCACAGGAUAUCAGUUUUGCCUACCUUGUGCGUGAAUUCUCAGUGAACGUUUCUUCAGGCAGCUUGGACCUCACCUUUGCCCCAUCAGCACAUCGGAAUGGUUCUUAUGCAUUUGUGAGUGGCAUUGAGAUUGUGCCCAUCAGCACGUCGGAAUGGUUCUUAUGCAUUUGU
rnacentral:lncRNA from 1 species